rnacentral:rRNA from 1 species
CCUACGGGUGGCAGCAGUGGGGAAUAUUGCACAAUGGGGGAAACCCUGAUGCAGCGACGCCGCGUGAGUGAAGAAGUAUCUCGGGAUGUAAAGCUUUAUCUGUAGGGAAGCAAAUGACGGUACCUGACUACUAAUCCCCGGCCAACUACGUGCCAGCAGCCGCGGUAAGACGGAGGGGGCAAGGGUUAUCCGGAUUUACUGGGUGUAACGGGGGCGCAGACGGGGAUGUAAGCCAGGAGUGAAAGCCCGGGGCCCAACCCCGGGACUGCUCUUGAAACUGCGGGGCUGGAGUGCAGGAGGGGCAGGCGGAAUUCGUGGUGUAGCGGUGAAAUGCGUAGAUAUCAGGAGGAACACCGAUGGCGAAGGCGGCCUGCUGGACUGCAACUGACGUUGAGGCCCGAAAGCGUGGGGAGCAAACAGGAUUAGAUACCCCGGUAGUC